AGAAACAUUCAUUUCUAAUAGAAGACAUCAUCGAGUUCAACAUCGUCGUGAGAUUGUUCAGUACAUUCAUGAGACCAUGAAAGGUAACCACUUCCAUCCAGUUCAGUACCAAGAGGGCGAACAUGAGAGAGCAAUGUCCUAAUCUAAAACAAAGUUUGCAGCACAUCCAUGCAUAAGCAAGGCAACUGCCCAAUAUAGAUUAAAGUUAUGCCAAAAACAACUUCGCUACAAAGGUAACAUCUAAAAAAGCAGGUUACUAAACACUUACUAAUGAUUCAAUACUAAACAUCAAGAUUCAUCACACGACAUUGGAUAACUUCACACCAAAUCAUACUUGUUGUAAAAAAUAUACAAAUAUACUCAGAACAACCUUCCAGGAGCGUUAGUGCAUUUCAUAAAACAAUGAUGUAAAGGGGGACAUCCACGAUACAACAUAUUUGUUGGCCCUCAAAUUUCACUUCUAUCUUCAUCUAUAUUGGAAUUCCAAAGAGCGGUCUUAGGGACUCGUUCCCUGUCCAGCACCAUGCUCCAGCGCUCAGGUCCAAACCAUAAAGCAGGUUACAGUGAUACAUAGUCUAGAUGGUGUUGAGCAGAAAAAAACCACGAUAUAUUACACAAGAAAGAACAUGCCAUUCUUGUACAUAAGUGAACCCCUAACAAAGCAAUGCCCUAGAUUACUUGGGUAUCAUCUUCACACCCCCAUGAGACUCCAGGUUGUAGCCUUAAAGAUAAAUGUAGACAAACCCUGACAAAGAAAGUAACGUUUGUGUACCUCUUUCAAACUGGGAGAAUCCUGACAGAGAGGCAUGAGACCACUGAGAAUCCUGACAGAGAGGCAUGAGACCAUAAAUAGUAGUAUUGGUCGAAGGAAAAUCAUAUGAUAUCUAAAUGGGAAAAAUUAAUUAUGUAUAUAUGAAAUGCUAUAAAUUCAUAAUGGUCAGGACAAAAGAGGACCAGCGAGCACAGAAACACGCAUCAUGUCAUUCACAUUCAAAUGAGAAAAAAAAACAUCAUGAUUUUAUCUUGAACACCAAACAAUGUACACAAUGUAAAAGGGCAUGAUACCAACUCCGUUAUAGCUGAACUUAUCUAAUUAGUAGUAAGAAAUUGGAUAAUGCACGUGCAUGAUCACAUCUCAUCAUUCUAUAUAAGUAGAUGGAUCAGUUCAUAAGCAUGAGCGAAAGCUCAUUAGUAUUCUUACUUAUACUCAUAUGGCGUGCUAUUUUUAUACUCAUAACGCACAUUCUUUUUUGGCUUUAUCUGUUCACAAGCAGACAAAACAUUUCUAGCUGCUUAUGCUUAUGCUUAUCAGUUCUGCCUUCCCAUUAACCUCUGGAAGUUUUCAGUUAUUAUACCUUAAUAUCAGCAGAUUGUAUUAAACUAAACCAAAUAGUACCUACGGUCCAUGAUGCAUAUCAUCCAGUGAACCUGCCUAAGCAUAUAAAUUAGUGAAAUAUUCCGGUGGUCAUGUGAGCACACAAUAGAAAUAGACAAUAUCGUGGAUUAUAUUUGCAUGAGGUAUGUCACUGCACACUACGUGUGAACCAAUUACCUAGCCAACUUUUGAAAGCGUGUAUACAGUAAAAGAAAUGGUGAUAUGCAAAAUAAUAAUGGAAGUAUGUUCAUAAAUCAGUUAACCUUUAACAAUAUCAUCAUCUAAUUAUGCUACAACUAUAAUAUGUUCAUCAUUACAAGAAACAACAAUUUUUUUUUAUUGAUUAGCACUGAACGGAGACACCAAAUUAUGAUGUAAGAUCUUUUCCAAGAUGAACAUGUAAGGUUGAAAUCUAAUAAGCCGAUGCAGAAGGAAAUACCAAAGUAGAACUGGGUAACGGAAAGUAUUCUGGCAUAGCAAAUAAUGCAGGCACAACAAAAACUGGGUCGCCGGUUUCUUAGUUACCUUCAAGAGAUGCCAUAUAUCGGAUAAUUGAUUCGGAGCGGCCUACAUCAGAGCAGUUGGGCAUCCACUCUUUAACUACCCUGUAAUAUGACAAAAUAUAUUGCCAUCUGGUCAGAGCUAAUGUUUAAUCUAGUUUUAAUAUUGUGUUGACACUCUUAAUUGCGCUCAUCACAAAAAACCUAUUUUGACAUUACCUUCCACGACAUAGAAUUCUUAGGUACCCGAUAACUAUGAUACAACAAAUGAAAAGGAGCGUUUGAAACCAGUUUCUUGUUAUUCAGAAGUUACAUAUUCUAGAAAACUUGCACAUCCAACUUAUCUAUCAAGUAUACAGCUGGGUCCACAUAAUAAUAAUAUGGGACAACUUGGGUGCAUGAGUUCUUUCAUAUAUGUGCAACAUCACGUGAUCUAUGAGUCUGCCAUACUUAUAUCUUACUGAUAGAAGACAACUUAACUAAUGAUGAAGAUGUUGCUAACCAGCACAUUCUGAAUGCUAAGCUCCUCACCAAAACAUUUCAGUAAAUUACUAUGGGCUUCCAUAAAGAUAUCACUUAACAAUGACAUACAUUAAAGCAUUAAGCCGCUACAUAUUACACCAUUAAGGAAUUUCUUUCGGCACCUUAUUUGCAACUGGUCCUUGAGCAAGAUAUGGCUUUUCAUCUCGUACAUGGUGGAAGCCAUAUACAACUUGACCAUCCAUCCCUAUCCAAAAUAAAUUGCACACCUUAGCAAUGAAUCAAGGAUCUAACAAAUUUAAACCGAGCAUUUGUUUCUAUCAUUUUUUCACCUAGAGAAGUGAUUGCUACAUAAGAAUGAAAAGCACAAUCUGCGAGGAACUCGCAAAGCCAAUAAGUACAUACAUCAUUUUAGAAGGGCACGAACAUAAUUUUUCUCCAUUAGGACUUUUGCAAUUUAUUAGGAAGAAUUUGUUUAAGGAGAUCCAUUUGGCAAGCACAGGUUGAUCAUGAUGCAACAGAGAACAUUCACCAUGUAAAAUCAAGAUUACCUGAGACUGUGUUGUGGACCAGCCAAACCAUUCAGUGUCGCUGCAAAAGAAAGGUAAGGAUCCAACAGAGCAGUUCCAGCCUGUGAUAAAAUAAAUACCAUUAGUGCUAGAUAAAAAGGUUAGUGCGUGUAGGGGGUAUAAACAGGAAACAAUUAAACAAUCAAUGCACACUGAGCUAGUAGGAUCAAGCAACGACAUAAAUAAUUGAAGGCCAACCAGUCUCUCUAAAUUAGCAGACCACAAAGUUGCUCCACCUCAAAAAGGAUACAACUUGCACAACUACAAAUUAGGCGUCUAAAUUAUGCUAUUUUCCAUUACAACAAUGAUGCGUCGCACGGGCACCAGUACCUUCACUGCCCAGGCAACAUCAUAAUUAUAUUGGUAAACAUUUGUUAUCAUAUUUUAUCUCUAGUUCUUGCUCCCAUAAGUUGUGGGGCGGGAGGCUCGCCUUAUUACGUUGCUAGGGCAGGCAGCAGUUGCAGGCUUGCAGGAGGAUGUCGGAGACAUGAUCCUCCCAUCGCAGUCACUUAUGGGAGACGGAACGUGACAUCCAGGUCUCCUCUUCCUCCCCCAUAUCUAUGUUGGUGUUGCUUGGGCAAGUAGUGAUCUAAACACUCUUAUAUUUCUGUACAGAGGGAGUACAUGGUUAUAGUUUCAGUUUUCUACAUGGAACAACAAGGGGUGGUUCUAUGACAUGUUUUUUUGCUUGCUGUUUAUAAUGUCCAGUUUAGUUUGUAAAUCCUAAUAAUUUCUCAAGUAGUGCAAAUCAGUGUCGAACCAUCAAAUUAAACUGAUGUUUUGUUAGUGAGAAACAACUUACUAUUUGUAAUGUUGUUAUGAUUUUUCUUUUAGUAAAACACUGCAAGGAGAUUCGUAUUCAGUCUAGCUGCUUGCCCCCCUGCUUGAAGUGCAUACAGAUGACCACGAGCACAUUAAAGAAAGAGAGUUACCUAGCCCACCACCAGAGGCACAGGAGCAUCCAAAGGUCCGCUCCAUCAGAAAGCAGUGGCAGGCAGGAAAGCCGACGCCGACGAGGAGCCCACCCAGCCUGCCUGCGUGAGGAAGAAACCAAGCGCAUGCAUGAGAGGGAAGGUAAGUGAGAGGGGGAAGAGCAAACUGAAGCAAAUAUGGGUACCAACCUUGACCUUGAGGAGGAACAUCGCUGGCAGUUGGAGCGGAUCAGAGCAGCGGCCUCCAUAGCAAGCAGAAGCAUGCGUCACUCGAUUUGGAAGCAGUCGAGCAGGAGCAGAUGUGGAUUCGUCUCCCGGCGCGCGAGCAUCUCUUGACGGAUGCACGACGACGACGAAGCCGAGGAUGGAUCGACCUCCUCACUCCUCCUACCAAGUCCGGAGGAGCAACGACCAUGCCGCAGACAGCUCGGCAUCCUCACCAUCUCCGCGGCCCGCGCUCAGUCAAGAGCAUGUUCCUUUUCUUGUCCCAGCCCAGACAAUUUGAUCUAGGAACCCUGUUUAAAAAAUAAAAAUAGGAAUUGUACUGCCUUGACAGUUGAUGAAUAGAUCAGAAAUUUUCUCGCCAAACAAAACAACAAUCAAACUGAAGAUGGAACGAAACAACACUUGCGAACCAGACUUGUACAAUAACUGGAGACUAAGUUGUUGUAAGAAAGUGAGAAAAUAUAUCUGUCAAAAAACAACCCACAACUUAAUAAGCAGUCAAGUAUGUCUCUAGAAAGAGGCCAUACUGCCACACCUACAGGGCUCUGUUCUUCACAAACAUGCAAUUGAUUAUCAUAUUCUCGUAUAACUGUUAUACUUUGAGACAACCAGAUAGAGCAAACUCGUAUACUUGGUAAUAAUAAAAAUCUAACACAGCAAAAUUUCUCUAUUUGAAUAUGUUCUUUCCUAAAGAUAUGUCAUCAUAAAAUAACAUAUCUGUUAUAACCAGUUAUACAAUAAGUACCCUAAACAUAAAUAGCAUCAUUGGAUAGUGAACCUUUGAACUAUAUGGUGAGAGCAGCCAUCUCCUCGAUUUUUCAAGUUCUGCUAUCGUUAGUGCUUGUUCUACUGAGUUUGGGCACAUACGUUGACACUCUCCGGAGCUACUCAGCUGUUGCAAAUAACACCAAGGGAGACACAAUCCUGUAUGAAGCCUUAGUCAUGGUAUACUGUAAUCUUUUAUUUAAGAAAAAUGCCCAUUAUGGGUGAUUUCAUUAAGAAUAUUAACAGGUUACAUCAUAUGCCAAUGAGUUCAAUACAUAGAAGGACAGAAGGGAGAUGAAGCACAACAUGUAUUUAGUAUAGGUAGCAUGCCUGCUAAUUUAGCUCCCAACCAAUGCACUGGCUUUGCUUCUGUGGAAUUGUCUUCUUCUCUAAUUACCAAAACUGUUGGUCAGCUGCUAUUAAAUGGUCAAUAAUAUCGUCCGGCUGGAUGAGACAUCUCUCACCUAUGAUGACUCAUUUGUGAGAUACUCCUGAGAACCUGAGUGAACAGAGCUAGAUGCUUUGAUCUUGGAUGUGGACUCCAAGUAUACUGAUUAAGAAUGCAAAUAAGGGACACAUUAGAGAAGCAAGUUGUAAGAAAAUCAUGCUUAUUUGCAAGUUAAGAUAUGUUCAGGUUAAACCACACACUGGGAUAUCUUAGGGCGAUUUGCGUUUUAAAUGUACUUUUAGGCUACCUACAUGUUUGGUUCUGCAUAUAAAUGAAGAUCUCAGCACAAAAAAAUAAAUAAAGAAUACACUAUUUGUCACUAUCUAAGCAGGUGACCAAGAAUUUCAAAGGAAUUAACCGUAUGACAGUAAAUUAAAUAGUCACCAUCUUAAAUAGCAUAAGAACAACAUACACACCAAGAAGAAACUACACGGCAUAACUCAAUAGCUAUUUAAAAGAAGUAUUCCAUAUAAUAUAUAAAACUUGCUUCUUAUUCCUUCUAUUACCUAGCGACACACAAAGAGAACUCAUUAUUUAGCUUAAAAUCAUUACUAUUCCAUUUUGUGGAAAUUCAAAAAAGAAAAAUAAUUUUAGCAGAACUAAAAGUUACUUUAAAUCAUUAGUUACCACUAUUAAUGAUAUGAAAUUCCCUCAUUUGAAAUUGAAACACUAACAUACAUGUUGUGUGCUGCUCUUUGUUCAAGCAUGGGUAAGGAACAAAGUCUUACUUGGAUUCUGCAGAAGCUACCUUAUAUCCUUCCACUUCCUCUCAUUUCUUCACUACCAGAAAAAUGAGCCCGUCAACAUUACAGGAUAAAGAAAAAUAUGUACAUCCGUGAAGCAAGCUCAUGUAAAAUUAGGUAGCAAGGCAUGUGAACAAAAGAUAGAUUAACCUAUUUUUCUGCAAGCCUCAACAAAAGGAUUGAACAGAAAAAUUUGCUUCUUGGAUCAGAACAUACACACAAUCGGUGAUCAAUGGAUUCCAAACUGGUAAAAUAGAAAACAAUAUGGAAGUUCUUAAUUCAGUGAAUUUUUAUAUUUUUACAUUUUAAUACUUGACAAUUCAGGAGGUAAAAACAAUAGCAGGAUGUUCCUUGAAACAAUAAGAAUAAACAUGACUUGAUUUGAAGAUGAAUCUCGUUUUCUACACAACUUAUGGGAUAACUCAUAGCUUCAUUUUGGUUUCAAGUUUAGCAGUGCUAAUUGUCGCUAGCGCACUAAAAUUAGGCUAGAGAUACCACAAUAUCAGCAAGCAGCAAGGAUCAACAAAAGGUAGCUCACCCAGGUUGCCACCAUGUUGAAGCUCUCUGUAGUUAACCGAUUCAUCCCCUUGAGCCCAGUGGAGAACUUCUGCCAUGUUACUUCCGUUUCCAAUUCCUGAAUCUUGCAUGUAUAGACCUUAUAAGGUCCACAUUCUCCUUGGAAAAAAAUAUAACA
rnacentral:lncRNA from 1 species